GUAGGUGUGUCUGCAGCUGGUUAUGUAAAAACACUAUCACACACACCUUUGUACAGACUCAGAUAUACUGAUAUGUUUUCCUUUUUCAGUCGUCGGUCCUGUAAUUUGAGUGCUUAGAACACAAAAGGGUUCGAUCAAGCAUAAACUGGAGUUUCAAGUGAGGCAGAAGAAGCGCUCAGACCUUCCUUCUGCUGCUGGUUUAACUCUCUAACAAUGUGGCUUUAUAGCUUUUUGCUGAGUUUCGACCUCAAGGGGCUCUUUCUGUUUAUUUUUAUUUUCAUCUUACUAGCUUACUUCUUCAAAAACAGGAAUCCUCCAAAUUUUCCUCCAGGACCGUUCCCUCUUCCCUUUGUUGGGAAUUUGCUCAGUAUGGACAUGAAACAUCCACAUAUUUAUUUUACUAAGCUGGCUGACGUCUAUGGGAACGUGUUCAGCGUUCACUUCGGCAGUGAAAAGACGGUGUUUGCAUCUGGGUACAAGAUGGUGAAGGAAGCCAUCAUCACACAAGCAGAAAACUUUGUAGAUCGACCGUACGAUCCAAUCAGUGAUAGAUUAUACUCAGGAGGUGGUUUAUUCAUGAGCAGUGGUGAAACAUGGAAGAGACAGCGACGCUUUGCCUUGUCUACCUUACGUAGCUUUGGUCUGGGCAAAAGCAGUCUGGAGCAGAAUAUCUGUGAGGAGGUUCGACACCUGCAGGAGGAGAUGGAGAAGGAGAAAGGUGAACCAUUCAACCCAGCAGGCCUCUUCAACAACGCUGUGUCCAACAUCAUUUGCCAGCUGGUGAUGGGGAAACGGUUUGACUACAGCGACCACAAAUUCCGGAUCAUGCUGAAGUAUCUGUCUGAAAUUGUUGCUCUGGAGGGCUCUGUAUGGGGACUGCUGUAUGACUCGUUCCCUAAUGUGAUGAAGCACUUGCCAGGUCCUCACAACAAAAUAUUCAGCCACUUCGACAGCGUCAUAGAGUUCAUCGGUGAGGAAGUCAAGAGUCACAAGAAGAACCUGGACCGCAACAAUCCUCGGGACUACAUCGACACUUUCAUCAUUGAAAUGGAGAAUCACAAAGAGUCUGACCUGGGCUUCACUGAGACCAAUCUGGCUAUGUGCUCUACGGAUCUGUUCUUGGCUGGAACAGAAACAACCUCCACCACUUUGCUGUGGGCUUUGGUUUACCUCAUCAAAUACCCUGAUAUCCAGGACAAGGUCCAUGCAGAGAUAGACAGAGUGAUCGGACAGGCCCGCCCUCCCAGUAUGGGAGACAGACUCAACCUUCCCUACACUGAUGCGGUUAUCCAUGAGAUCCAGAGGAUGGGAAACAUUGUUCCUCUCAAUGGACCCAGAAUGGCUGCCAAGGACACGACACUGGGUGGUUACUUCAUACCCAAGGGUACUACUUUGUUGCCCAGCCUGACCUCUGUGCUGUUCGACAAGACUGAAUGGGAGACUCCAGACAGCUUCAACCCAGGACACUUUUUAGACGCUGAGGGAAAGUUUGUGAAGAGAGAAGCUCUGCUGCCUUUCUCUGCAGGAAAACGUGUGUGUCUCGGAGAAGGCCUUGCCAAGAUGGAGCUGUUCCUGUUUUUGGUCGGGUUGCUACAGAAGUUCUCUUUUUCUGUUCCUGAUGGAGUAGAGCUGAGUACAGAAGGAGUUACUGGAAGUACACGUGUACCUCACCCCUUCAAGGUUUACGCUAAUGUUCGCUGAAUCAUGCAACAGAUCACUGAAAGAUUUCAUCAGCAUACAUUUUUAAACUUCACAGUGAUGAUUAAAUAUGUCACGUACAAGUCACAAAUUAACUGGAAUCAUUACUAAAUCACUCGUUAAUAAAUGAUUUAGGGAUUGUGUCACAAACUUAGUUUUCCCAUCAAUUUUCUUCCACUUAUUUGUGGUCUAGUCAUAGUGGCAAGAGGUUUAGCCGGGCAUUCCAGCAUCCUUUUCCCUAGCAAUGCAUAUAAGUCCUUCUGAUGUGUGUUCCCAAGACAGAUUGGGUAUGUAGUCCGUCCAGAAGGUUCUGGGUCUGCCUGCAGUAGAGACAGCGUUUAACAAUAUGCCCUGCUGACAUGCUUGUGAAAUACUGGAGCUGAUGAUGGUGGCACAAGGAAAUGUUUUAUAGUAGAGGUAAUGAAGGGGAACUAUAGCAUGCUCUUUGUUUUGCCACAAUGUGCAACUGUUGCUGACACUGUUUUGUAGACAGCAAGCAGCUGCAGCUAAACUCUUUCCUGCUGUUGCUUUCCCACUAUAUAUUUUUAGUUGGACUAUAAUAUGACAGAUUUCAUUCUUCUCUUUUGCUGCCUACAGUUUGUAUGGUUGGAUCUAUUCGAGUAGGGUUGAUCUGUAAAUAGAUGCUUGUGACAUGUGAGAUGUGGUGAUGAUAUAAAAUCACCCAUAAACAAACAUCUGUGUGUCAAAUGAUUUGAA